UUUAAUGAAGAGAAUAGAAAAAUUGAAAUUGAAAUAUUUAAUGCAUCUAAAGAAUGUAGAUUUAAACAAAAUAAAUCUGAUUCAAUGCUGCAAAAAUUUAAGAGAUUCACUGACCAUAAUCCACAAAAUGAAAAAAAAAUCCAAUAUUUGAAUAAAAAUAUCAACGAUGAAAUUAAAAAGAUUGUUAUAGAAAAAUUUUACGAUUUAGGCUUCUAUUUUAAUAUAGACACUCAGAUGAUUGAUGUACAAGUACCAGAUGAAAUUAUUAAUAAUAAAAAAAUGGAAAAAAGAAAAUCAAAUUUGCCACAUUUUAUCGAGAUAG